rnacentral:rRNA from 1 species
CGGCGCACGGGUGAGUAACACGUGGAUAAUCUACCUUUGGAUUGGAAUAACCUGUCGAAAGACGGGCUAAUGCCGAGUAAGCUCUCGGAGACGUAAGUCUCUGCGAGGAAAGAUGGCGCAAGCUAUCGCCGAUGGAUGAGUCUGCGUCCCAUUAGCUAGUUGGUGAGGUAACGGGUCACCUAGGCGACGAUCCCCAGCUGGUCUGAGAGGAUGACCAAGCAACUGGAACUGAGACACGGUCCAGACUCCUACGGGAGGCAGCAGUGGGGAAUAUUGCCCAAUGGGCGCAAGCCUGAUGCAGCCAUGCCGCGUGUAUGAAGAAGGCCUUCGGGUUGUCAAGUACUUUCAGCGGGGAGGAAGGUGUGUGGUUAAUAACCACAGGCAAUUUGACGUUAACCCGCAGAAGAAGCACCGGCUAACUCCCGUGCCAGCAGCCGCGGUAAUACGGAGGGUUGCAAGCGUUAAUCGGGAUUACUGGGCGUAAAGCGCACGCAGCGGUCCUUGGGUCCAAAGGUCCGGCAUUGUUGAAAAAUUCCCCCGGGGGCUCAAAACCCUUGGGNGAAAACUGGCUUUUCCGGAAAACUUGGGACCAAGGGCUUA